rnacentral:rRNA from 1 species
AUACGUAGGUGGCGAGCGUUGUCCGGAAUUACUGGGUGUAAAGGGUGCGUAGGCGGGUGCGCAAGUCAGAUGUGAAAUCCCGGGGCUUAACCCCGGAACUGCAUUUGAAACUGUGCGUCUUGAGUGGAGGAGAGGUAAGUGGAAUUCCCAGUGUAGCGGUGAAAUGCGUAGAUAUUGGGAGGAACACCAGUGGCGAAGGCGACUUACUGGACUCUAACUGACGCUGAGGCACGAAAGCGUGGGGAGCAAACAGGAUUAGAUACCCUGGUAGUCCACGCUGUAAACGAUGAUUACUAGGUGUAGGGGGUAUCGACUCCCCCUGUGCCGCAGCUAACGCAAUAAGUAAUCCACCUGGGGAGUACGGCCGCAAGGUUGA